UAUUCCCCGACAUAAAGAAUAUUCCCUGACCAAUCGAAUAUAAUAUAACAACUUGCAUACUUUGCAAAAUUUAUAAAUAAUACCUACAACUAUAACUUUAUCUCAAAUUCACACCAUAAUAUUCAAAAAAAUAUUUCGAGAAAAUUAAAUCUUUAUUCGUAAAAUUUGGGGUCUCACAACAAAGGGUAAUCAGCACAAUAAUUUCGAAAAACUUCAAAUCAGUUACAACCAUGAAGAAAUCACACCCAACUGUAGACAUUCCAGCAGACCCCAACAAAAUCUCAAAACAAAUCGAUCUGAUGUGGAAAGAAACAAAGAACCCAUAACGUAGAACCUCCGAAAAUUCCGAAAAGAUAAAUCCACCGGAAAAACAGAUUUGACCGAAGCAAACACCUAUGAACAAACCAGAUUAAAUUAAACAUAAGAAAACAUAAUGAACAUCAAUUAAAUCGGUACAAUCACAGAAAUAAUUUCAAAUCUGAGCAUGAAUAAAAAGGCAAUAGGUACCCAGAUCCGAACAAGCACAUAAGGACAUCAGAUCCAAAAAGGCUAUCAUCCAAAAGCCAGAAAGACCCAACAUCAAACAGAUAAUCACUUUAGGGACCAACCACACCUGAGUCAACCUUCAGAUAAGGCCCUCAAACAAGAUCAAAACAACAUGCCAAAACACCCAAACUCUCCCUACUAGGCAAAUCGAAGAAGAGCGCAACCGUCAAACCCUCGGACUUGGCUAAGAUCGGUCGAAAAAAGGAGCCGUUCGAAAAAUUGAUUUAGGCUACUGGAAGACACAUAAAAGAUAGAGGAGAAGGAGAAGGAGAAGGAGCAGGCAUACAUGUAAGGAGAAGACGAGGUUUUAUGGCUGGUUUUAUAUUAGAAGCCCUAGGAUUUUUGGACUUCAUUUGGAGCCUGCUAGUUGAAUCAUUAGAGGGAGGAGAGGAAUGAACGAAAUGAAUCUUAGAUUUGUAAAUCUGUGAAGUGUUUUAAUUUUUUUUUGGAGAAAUCUCAUGUUUUGAUAUAAAGAUUAUUCCUUGCAAAUUACUAACAGCUAGGCUCGUGGUGCUCGGGUGGUCAAAUGACCAAAGUUCCAAACAAUAUGUCACGGGUUCGAAUCUGUGUAAAGACAAGUUUUGGGAAAAAUUCAAAAGAUCUGCCACGUCAGCGGACAAGUGUCAAAUUUUAAUAUUAAAUACCACGUCAGACCUGUUGACGUGUGCCACGUAGGCGCCAUGUGUGCCACGUCACUAGGUCAAUGUACAUGUGAUUGCAUUUAACCCUGCCACAUAGUGAUGUACCAAUUUAUAUCCGUGAAGAUUAAAUAACAUAAUUACUUCAUCUUGAUCAGAUUAUUAACGUACCUUGUGCCAUGGAUUAGCUUUGAUUUGAGGAAUCUUUAAUUUAGUGUAAUGUGGAAUCAUACAUUUAACUUCCUCUAUGAUUGGUGUGCCUAAACUCUAGCAUAACAUAAAUGUAAAAGUAGUAAGAGAUGCACAAUAAAAUGAUACAAAAAAAAGAAUCAAAACAUCAAUGGAUAAAAUACCUUGAUGCUCUCCACCAGUUGAUCAACACUACUUUCCCCGGGAAACAAUGGCUACAUACGAUGCAAAAGGCAGUAUAAAUCAGACAAACUUGGAAACAUGUUCACAAGAACAACGCACAAGAAAUAAAACCAAACUUCACCAAGAAAAACCUAUUUAAAGGGUAAAAAGUUAUACUGCAAACUUUGGGAAAUAAAAGAAUUAAAUAUACAAAGAUAUACUUUUUUCCUUUAUAAGUUCAGCAUAUGAUCUCUUUCAUUCUCCCACUCUGUGGAUAAGUUAAGUUAAUUAAUUAAACAUAUAUUUACUUGUAAUUGAUGAAAUGACAUAACUAGACAGAUGCAAAGUAGCCUAUAAAUAGCCAACUAAAUUCGAAAUCUCUAAUAACAAAAGACUACCAUUAUCUUCGUAAAUUUCAUUUGGUACUUUGCGAAUUUAAAUUAACAUUUACCCCACAUUACAAGGAAUGAAAAUGUAUUCUUGUGUUACCUUUUGCAAUCUCUUUAGUACUACUAUCUAUGUAAAUUUUUUCCUCUUAAUAGUAACUCUUUUCAAUCAGUUGCUCAUCUCUAUCUUUAUCUCACCUAUGGAUUCUUUUAACAAAUUAAUUCACAUACCUGUCAUUUGCGAACGGGUUACGGGCAAGCCCAUAAAAUUGCAGAACAUGUGAGCCAUAAGUGGAGUAGUAAGAUGCCCUGCAAUUAACAUACUCUAGAUACAUCACAAAAAGCACAAACUUUACCCAUUUUAAAAAAGAAUAAUUAACUCUUGUUCAUGUAAAACUCAAAAAUGUAUAAACAAAGGACAAAUAACAAACAACAUUAAAUGGAAAAAUAACUAUGGAACCCCAAAAUUUCUGGGUCUACAUUAAUAUUUAUAUGGAAACAGAUGCAUACUACCUACAUCAAACUUUGGACUUGGAUUUUCAAAUUCUGGGAUUUAAUGUGAUUUUGCUUACAUAAGUAAUAGUAAAGGAUUUAACUACUUGAACUGUGAUAUUAACAAACCAUGCUUAUCAGCAUAUGGAUCUGGCAUUUUUUUUGGCAGAUGUAGGUUUGAAAAUAAUUAGGUAUGUAGAAUCCUAAGACUUUUGCUACCAAAUCCUAAGGCUUAGGUUCUGAAAAAAAAAAUAUUUAAGUUCCUCAUGCAAGGUACUUAUAGAUACAACCUUCCCGAAAUCAAUCUCCUACAAACCUUAAACUUACAAAUUAACUAUCAACUAACAAAAUGAUAUUUCCACAUUGUCCAUACCAAACCACUAGAACUCUCUUGCUAAUCUCUUAUCUAUCCUAUCCACCACACCUACGCAAAGUAGUAAUAUAACCACCUUCCAGAAAGUAGACUACUCUAUUCCACUCAUCAUAUCACUUUGAGGCCUGCUACCUUAUGGAUCCUAAAAAUGUUGAGCUAAGUUGAGAACUAUGAAAAGUGCACCACUGACAUGUUCUAAAUAUUUUCACAAGAAAGGAUAGUACUAAUAUAUAAGUUAAGAGGGAAAAAUUGAGAAACUAAUAGUCUUAUUUAUCCACCUCUCAAAUUAACAAACAAACAGAGAGAUUUUUUUUCAAGACUAGGUGAUCUGUAAUUUACAGAAAGUAUUAUGAAGUAAAUUGGUAUCCAUACUCUUUAUUAAUAAUCAAGCAGAUUGCUGUUAGGAAACCCAAGACACCAAAUGAUUUUAAAAAUUGGUUCUGUUGUUAAUUCUACAUUUCACUUUCUACUAUUCUAAGUAAAUGACAUAAUCUAUACGUAGUGUGACAGAAAAUCUUUAAAAAUUGCAUCAAAAUGUGAAAAUUCUGGACAAGAAAAUGUGAAAAUUCAAAGGGAAAAACUCAUAUACAGCACUCUCAUCCAAUUAGGGGAGGAACUAUAGAUCAAGACAAGCAAAACCUCCCAAAACAUUAUUACACCACCUCAAUCUAAAUGAUACAGACAUGAUAAAUUUGAAGCGAGUUGCAUCAAAAGAGCCACCUCCAUAUAUAUUAUAAUGACACAACUAGAAAACUGAAUUCCCAAACUACAUUACACUUUACCCAAAAAAAAGAGAGCAAACACUUAGACGCUUCUAGUAACAAACAAACAUUAUCAAAUAGGAGUACAACCUAUUGAGUCUGAAUGCUCCAGGCUAGAGAGUAAGAAUAUGAACAAUUUUUCCAAGCCUCAUAAAAUACAAAAUCUGUUAACUACAAAUUUUCAGGCUAAACCCAAUAAUCAAAACAAUAAUAGAUAGAUAUAUUUGAAGUGAAUAAAUAAAAUAAAAUGUAACUAAAUAUUUUCACAAGAAAGGAUUACCUAUAUAUGUAACAAUGAUAUUGCCUGUGAGCUCUUGGCAUUUGCAUAUAUAUUAAACAUCUUUUAAUGCCACAUAUACCAUUCUACCAGAAUCUAGACAAAAUAUAUUGGUAUCCAAAGCAAGCUUGUUAAGGAAAGCGGCAAGGGGUGUUGUCUGGUAUAGAACCAGAACAAGGGCGGAGGGAGUUGUUUUCCAGUAGCAGCUUUCUUUUUCCUGGCUGAGUAAUAAGUAAGCAUGCGAGUACAUUAUUUCAGACGCCGAAUACGUUAAAUCACCCACCGAAGACGCAUAAGAAUAAUCCGAUGAAUCAUACAUAGCGUAGGAGUGAGUCUUCAUAUUCGAGGUUGGGGGAAUAAGGGAAAGCAAGUUACAACCCUUUAAUCGAUUAGAAUAGUGAUCCCAUCCGCGGAUAAGAAUCGCGCUUUACGAGCUGAAAACCAUGUCUUUUAUAAAAUCUUUCGUGGUUAGGCUUGAUGGAAUGGAGGGUUAAACAAGAUCAUGAGCUCUGACUUUGCUUUUUGCUGGUGAUAGUGAUGGUGCAGGGUCGGGGGAUGGAUACUAGUACUGGGACUGAUUCCGAUUCAAGGAAUGCUCCUACCCACGUAGUCUCCUUGUCCAUACCCAAGCCGAAAAAUGAUGAAAAACAAGUCCGUUGCAUGAAAUAUCGUGGUAGAAGCUUUUUGUUUAGUUGAUUCGGAAGCGGAGUCAGAGUAAAUAAACGACAAUCUCGCUUUGAAACCGCUCUGACCUUCUUUUCUUUGCCAAGCGGCUUUUAAAAAGGCCUCGUAAAAGGGGUAAAGUGAAGAAGGAGUCGGAGCUAACCAUAGUGAUAUGAAUGUCCGAUCGACUUCUAUAUGCAAGUAGAACGUCGGAUGCUCACUUUGCUAACCCGAAAUUGACCAAUACGAACUUCCCUUCGGAAACCAACUAAGGUAACUCCGAUUGAAUGCGGAAUCCCACUAGCCAUUAUUCGUAUGAACUCCUAGAUCCAUGAAGGACAUGGGCAUCUGUAAGUCGGUUAAGCGAAGAGCGGAAAGAAGGAAUCACAAAAGAAAUUCAUUCCUUCUUAACUUAAUUUGAUUGAACUUACCGGUCUGAUGAUCUUAAUCUAAGAUAAGGAAAAAGAAAAUCGAAUUUCCUUUUUCAAUCUCAAGGGUAAAGGUAAAAUUCAGAAUUCCAUUCUGAGCCGCAAAAAGAAGCACCUCGAAAGCUUCUUACAGUAUCAUCUCUGGUGUCA
rnacentral:lncRNA from 1 species